rnacentral:lncRNA from 1 species
CCCAAACGUAGCCGACAUUGUUCCUAAUGGAGUAGCAUUCCUACAAAAGACACUUAAGUAGGACUCGAUCAACCUAAACAAAAUGUAAAAUAUAUGAAUUAAAAAGCAGGAGCUAGGUUGUCUCUCAGAAGUGCUAAGUUUAAAACCUUCAGCCAGACUAAACUUUCAUACAGGGUCAACCAAUAUAAAUAGGCUCAUGGAGAACCAUAGCCUCCUCUACAACUUCAGUGGACAAUUUCAAUUAAAACAUAAUAAGGUAUAUGGAAAUGAAGGCACCUGAAGAUUGAAGUUUCUUUAUUUAGCUCUCUCCAAACGAAGCCGACAUUGUUCCUAAUGGAGUAGCAUUCCUACAAAAGACAGUUAAGUAGGACUCGAUCAACCUAAACAAAAUGUAAAAUAUAUGAAUUAAAAAGCAGGAGCUAGGUUGUCUCUCAGAAGUGCUAAGUUUAAAACCUUCAGCCAGACUAAACUUUCAUAUAGGGUCAACCAAUAUAAAUAGGCUCAUGGAGAACCAUAGCCUCCUCUACAACUUCAGUGGGCAAUUUCAAAAAUGGUUUUAGUCAUUAUCCAUGAAUUUUAAAAACUACUCCAGUGCUUGGAUUCUCAAUUUCCACGGCCCCAUACAAGAAUCUCUUUCACUAAAAAGAGCCUAGUCCAUCUAGACCUAAGUUUCUCAGGAAAUAGGUGUAGCCUAG